UACAGAGGUCCCAAGCGUUGUUCGGAUUCACUGGGCGUAAAGGGUGCGUAGGUGGUUGGGUAAGUCUGAUGUGAAAUCUCCGAGCCUAACUCGGAAACUGCAUCGGAUACUAUUCGGCUAGAGGGUUGGAGGGGGGACUGGAAUUCUCGGUGUAAGCAGUGAAAUGCGUAGAUAUCGAGAGGAACACCAGUGGCGAAGGCGAGUCCCUGGACAAACUCCUGACACUGAGGCACGAAGCUAGGGGAGCAAACAGGA
rnacentral:rRNA from 1 species